CUGACCAGGACUGGCCCCAGGAACCAAUGAUUCGAGGGCUGCUCCCUCUGGGAUGGGGUGUGUCCAUGCCUCUGAGGAAGAACUUCCAGCCAGAAACUUAAUCACAACUUUCAGGUCUGAGGUCCUGUCACCAGGAGUGGCUGAAGACAAGGAAUAUUCUUCAAGGCAAGGAAAACUCAUGAAUGAGCACCCGCAGAACUUGACAAGAAAGAGCAGAACACUGCACAAAUGACACACCUAAUGGCCUCUGAGGUCAUCAGGUGGCAUCUUGGCCCUUUUCACUGCCGUCCACCCUACAUCAGGCCGAGGAAAGCUCCACCCUCACUAAAGGCCACAUGACCACAGCCAGAAUCAAGAGAAAACCAGGUGCCUUACCGCGAUCAGGGCUGAGUUCCUCUGGUCCCCGGGGGUCGAAGCCGGUGGCUGCUGCUCCCCUUCGAUCCCACUGAUCCCACUGCUGCCACCAUUAUUGCUGCUGUCCAGCAGGUGCUGCUGGUGGUGAUGGUGGUAGUCUGGCGGGGGCGGCGGGGCUGCUUGCGUGGCCGCUUGGGAGGCUGUGGGAGGUGCGGCAGGUGGUGGUGGAGGGGCUGUCGUCGUGGUGGCCGCGGUGGCAGUGGCCUUGGAGUGUUUGCCGGCCUUCCUCGCCCCCUGGCCAUGCUGUACAAGGCUCAGGAGCUGCAAGGUGCUCUCUCUUUCCCUAUCUGAGCUCUCAGCCCUACCACGUUCAUAGCGUCCUUCACAGCUCAGGUGGUGCUGGCGGCAAACGGCGAUUCGAGCCCGAAGGCGCUCCACGAUGGCACUGUGCACUCUCGGGGUGACAGAGCCCCCUCCAAGGAGCCCCGCCCCAGGGGCCCCCCCUAACCCUCCGGUGGGGGCCUGCGGGGGCGCUGUGUCCCCCAUCUUACUGGACACAAUGAUUGCUGCCUCCGGGAUGGUGAAGUGGAAGGAGGCUAUUGCUGGUUACUGCAGGUUUUACAGGGGCACCAUGACCUGAUCCACGGGAACAGCUGCAAGAUCAAAGAAUUCCUACAGCAAGAAGUUUGCAACAACCAACAACACCCUCUCCCUUUUUUAGUAUAAAAGGAGCCUUAAUUCUGACUUGGGGAAGAUGAUUCUCUAAGACAUUACUCUGCCAUCUUCUGAGCUGAAUAAAGUCGCUAUUCCUUGCCCCAAUA